rnacentral:rRNA from 1 species
CCUACGGGGGGCAGCAGUGAGGAAUAUUGGUCAAUGGGCUUACGCCUGAACCAGCCAAGUCGCGUGAGGGAAGACUGCCCUAUGGGUUGUAAACCUCUUUUGUCAGGGAGCAACGCCGGCUACGUGUAGCCGGACUGAGAGUACCUGAAGAAAAAGCAUCGGCUAACUCCGUGCCAGCAGCCGCGGUAAUACGGAGGAUGCGAGCGUUAGCCGGUUUUAUUGGGUUUAAAGGGUGCGUAGGCGGAAUGCCAAGUCAGCGGGAAAAUCGCGGGGCUAACCCUCGCUCCGCCGUUGAAACUGGCGUUCUUGAGUGGGCGAGAAGUAUGCGGAAUGCGUGGUGUAGCGGUGAAAUGCAUAGAUAUCACGCAGAACUCCGAUUGCGAAGGCAGCAUACCGGCGCCCAACUGACGCUGAGGCUCGAAAGCGUGGGUAUCGAACAGGAUUAGAUACCCGGGUAGUC